GGCGAGGUGGUGCAGUGGUAGCACACCUGAGGGGUGCUCAGGAGAGGGAUGUUCAAUUCAUUCUCUCGCUA
rnacentral:tRNA from 1 species